rnacentral:rRNA from 1 species
GUGCACGGCGGUGACUUUCAUUCCAAUACCCUUGUGAACCUUUGGCCUCGAGCUAGCAGCUAGCUGCUGCUAGAGGAGGNNNNNNNNNNNNNNNCCCCGAAUUUAAKGAAMCUCUUGUUGUGCACAAGCACUACUACUAUACAACUUUCAACAACGGAUCUCUUGGCUCUCGCAUCGAUGAAGAACGCAGCGAAAUGCGAUAAGUAAUGUGAAUUGCAGAAUUCAGUGAAUCAUCGAAUCUUUGAACGCACCUUGCACCCUUUGGCAUUCCGAAGGGUAUGCUCGUUUGAGUGUCAUUGUACUCUCACACUUCCGAUCUUUGGAUUGGGAGCGGUGGACUUGGGUUUGCUGCUUGACGGUGGCUUACCUCAAAUGCGUUAGUGCAACUCUUGGUUGGACAUAGUACGGCGUGAUAAGUGUUCUUCGCCGGUGCCUCGCUUGCGAGGGUGGCCGAUCAGGAUGUUGUGCUCCAAACCGUCUGAAGCUUCGGACAAUUUAUCUCUGACGACUGACC